UCCUCCUUUAAUCGUCUUUUAAGGGGGCACCGCAGAGCUACGGACAUUACAAUACACAAUGAAUAGGUUGCCACUGAACCCUUCACACUAGGCUGCCGCUAGUUUGAAACUGCCUUAAAUUUAUUUAUUUUUCUUUUUUCUUUUUUUUUUUUUUAAACAUCUCUUUUGCACGGCGUGGCGGCUUUUAUUUUGGUGUGGCGGUGCACCACAAUAAUUAAUAUGUAGGGGAAACCCUGAAAUAGUCAAGUGGUGCAGCUCUUCUACCCCUUUUACUUCUUCAUUUAUGACCAUCAUUGACCAUGCAUCAUCUACGUAUCAGUUUCAUGUUGGAAGUGGGGUCUUCCUGGGGUCUUCCUGGGUAUCAGACCAUAGAGUCCCAUUCAGACGCAGACGGAUAGUACGGGUUGACACUGCUGUACCCUCGGACAGCAGGACAGCUUGAACUUGUUUGGAUGGAGGUUAGCCACAGUGCCAUGGGCUUUACACUUAUUGAAGACACUGCGCAUGGUAGACACAGGAACAUUCAAGUCUUUGGAGAUGGACGUGUAGCCUUGAUAUUGCCCAUGCUUCCUCAAAAUUUUGCUUCUCAAGUUCUCAGACAGUUCUUUGGUCUUCUUUCUUUUCUCCAUGCUCAAUGUGGUACACACAAGGACACAGGACAGAGGUUGAGUCAACUUUAAUCCAUUUUAACUGGCUGCAACUGUGAUUUAGUUAUUGCCACCACCUGUUAUGUGCCACAGGUAAGUAACAGGUGCUGUUAAUUACACAAAUUAGAGAAGCAUCACAUGAUUUUUUUAAAGGGUGCCAAUACUUUUGUCCGGCCCGUUUUUGGAGUUUUGUGUAAAAUGAUAAUUUUUUUUUUUUUUCCGCAUUCUGUUUUGUUUUUUGUCAUUGCAAGCAAAAUAAAUGAAGA